rnacentral:rRNA from 1 species
CAUGGCUCAGGAUGAACGCUAGCGGCAGGCUUAAUACAUGCAAGUCGAGGGGCAGCACGGGUAGCAAUAUCUGGUGGCGACCGGCGCMCGGGUGCGUAACGCGUAUGCAACCUACCUUUAACUGGAGGAUAGCCCCGAGAAAUCGGGAUUAAUACUCCAUAACAUUGUGAAAUGACAUCAUUAUACAAUUAAAGCUCAGGCGGUUAAAGAUGGGCAUGCGUGACAUUAGCUAGUUGGUGAGGUAACGGCUCACCAAGGCUACGAUGUCUAGGGGUUCUGAGAGGAUUAUCCCCCMCACUGGUACUGAGACACGGACCAGACUCCUACGGGAGGCAGCAGUAAGGAAUAUUGGGCAAUGGACGCAAGUCUGACCCAGCCAUGCCGCGUGAAGGAUGACGGCCCUACGGGUUGUAAACUUCU